AUGUUUGCUGCAACUAUUUCAGUUCUAAGAAGUGUAGCAACUGAUCGCUCCGCUACAAGGAAUUCAAGAGGAGACGCUGCAGGUGCCCUGAAGAUAUUAAACACAUUUGAUUUUGUCUUCAUUCUGCACCUAAUGGAAAGAAUUAUGAAAAUCACGGAUAUCUUGUGUGUUAAACUUCAAAAUAAAAGUUUGGAUAUUGCUAAUGCACUGGAUUGUGUUUCUAACACAAAGUCGUUGCUUGCUGAACUGAGACAAGAUGGAUGGGAAAGUCUUUUUGAAGAUGUCAAAUCAUUUUGUGUGAAACAUGAGAUUGAUAUCCCGGACAUGGAUCAAAGGUAUGUUGAUGUAACAAAAUCAAGAAAUAAGCAUGACAACACCACCGUUAUCCAUCAUUACAAAGUAGAUGUGUUUAAUGUUGCAAUAGAUCAACAAGUGAUAGAGUUGAAUGAUCGAUUCAGUUCUCAAGUUACGGAGCUUCUAGAUCUUUGUUCAUCAUUGGACCCUAGACAUGAUGCCUUCGACAAGUCAAAGAUAUGCACUCUAGUGGAAAAAUUCUAUCCUGCUGAUUUUACUAGUCAAGAAAGAGAUCGGUUGGAGUGUGAAUUACCACAUUUUCAGCUUGAUACAUUGAACCAUCCAGAGAUCAAAAAUUGCAAAUCACUUGCUGAUAUGACAAAAGGGAUAAUUAAAACUGGCAAGUCUUCUGAUUAUCCUAUGGUUGAGAGGUUGUUACGAUUAGUAAUAACUCUUCCGGUGUCAACUGCAACAGCAGAGCGAGCCUUUUCCGCAAUGAAACUUGUCAAGACACGUCUUCGAAGUAAAUUGGGAGAUGAUUUUCUUCGUCAUUGCACUAUAGUCUACAUUGAGAAGGAAAUAGUAGCCAAGUUUAGCUCCGACGAUAUUAUUGAGAUAUUUGAUACUGGUGCUCGUAAAUCCGACUUCAAAUUAAUAGAUAUGUAA
rnacentral:rRNA from 1 species